rfam:Rattus norvegicus chromosome 1, whole genome shotgun sequence.
GGGGAUUUAGCUCAGUGGUAGAGCGCUUGCCUAGCAAGUGCAAGGUCCUGGGUUUGGUCCCCAGCUCCG